UUUGGAAUGCGCAAAGACCUGUAGCUUAGUUAGGCCUGAGCAGAACAAGGAUUGUCACACCUCUUUCCAAUCACUGCUUCCCACACCUCAAACCGUUGCGCUGCUUUAUUCCUUGUAUCAGACGUACCAGAAACCCCUCGCUCUGUGGUGGUAAAACUGGCUUUUUCCCCUCUUGGUACCUUGUGAAUAAACCUUCUCUAUGCUGCAAAUCAUUUCAGCUUGCUGUGCACUGGGCAAGAAAAAGACACCCAUUGGUUGGCUCCACUGGACACACCAUGUAAUUGCAGCAGAAGCAGCCCAUGUCCAUCUGACACUCGACAGCUAUAGUGAGAGAAGGUGUCACUUGAGACUGUGAUGCUUGGAGCUGCUGCAGUCAUCAAAUGUCUAUCAGUGAAGGACAGGAGUGUGGGUAGCAGAAGACACCGUGGAAUCAUAGAAUCAACGGAAAGGACUGCCAACCUCUGGACAUCUGGUCAAAUAAACAAUAAAUGCCUUUCUGAUUUAAGUCCAAGGUGAUCCAUCUAGAGUAUGUGUCCCUUUGGCUCAGGCAAACACUGCCCCACAAUAGAAAGCAUGAAUUAUACAAAGGCACUGAUUUCUAAGUUUUCUACUUCCAUAGUCUUUCUGAAAAUGAAUCAAAGAAAGGCACACGUGUGAAGGAGAUGCUGGUUCUUCUUUUCCUCCUUCCCUUUCACAACUUCCUCUGGCCCUUGUAAAAGAUAGAAAACUGACGCUCUACCCGUAAACAGUGUCCCAGGCAGUAAAAACCUCCAGGAUACUAAACAAAGGGACAAUUUGCUAUAAUAGAAUCAUCUGUCAACUUGUUCACAAGAUGUGUUCACAAGAUAUUCACAAGUUGUGACAGAACAACUU